UCUCCGUUAGCUUUGAUCCAAGCCGCGCCAAUCCCGACUUCAGUUCUUCAUAAGUGAUUGUGCCACUAUUGUCCGUAUCAAUGUUGUCAAACAUAGCUUUCAGACCCUUGAUUUCUUCUUCAGAUAAAUUCUCCGCAAUGACCUACGGAAAUUACAAAUGUAAUAGAAUAUCAAGAGCUUACUUCCAACAUCAAGUGCCUUUAUCUCAAAAAAACAUCAAGUGCCUAAUAAAUGCUACAUCUUCUAGAUAAUUCAGUAUGGGCGGCAUCCCACAUCAUUUUUGCUACUGAAGAACCAGUAAUGAUAGUCACAGAUUCUGAGUAAUAGCAGUCUCGAGAAAAUACUUAACCACCUGCAG
rnacentral:lncRNA from 1 species